rnacentral:rRNA from 1 species
GUAGGUGGCAAGCGUUGUCCGGAAUUAUUGGGCGUAAAGCGCGCGCAGGCGGUUCUUUAAGUCUGAUGUGAAAGCCCACGGCUCAACCGUGGAGGGUCAUUGGAAACUGGAGAACUUGAGUACAGAAGAGGAAAGCGGAAUUCCACGUGUAGCGGUGAAAUGCGUAGAGAUGUGGAGGAACACCAGUGGCGAAGGCGACUUUCUGGUCUGUAUCUGACGCUGAGGCGCGAAAGCGUGGGGGGAGCAAACAGGAUUAGAUACCCUGGUGGUCCACGCCGUAAACGAUGAGUGCUAAGUGUUAGGGGGUUUCCGCCCCUUAGUGCUGCAGCUAACGCAUUAAGCACUCCGCCUGGGAGUACGGCCGCAAGGCUG